rnacentral:tRNA from 1 species
GCAUCGGUGGUUCAGUUGUAGAAACGCGGACGGCCCGGGUUCGAUUCCCGGCCGAUGCA